CAUUUCUCAUAAAUGGGCUGACUGGAUCAAGGUUGCGCCCCUCACAUGACGCUGUUGACGAUUACCAGUAUGACAUACCCAUAAGCCGUAAACCAGGAUGAACAGUGAAUACCCUCAAAGAAGGAAGCCCCUGAAAGUUUUCUCUGCUGAUCGCAUUCAACGGAAGAGUGUCGUGAGCUCAACGUUUGUGGAGUUUAUUACGAUAUGCAGGGGGAAGUUCAAGGUGGGCAAUGGGCCUGUCAGACUUGUACUAGAGGAGGACGGGACAGAGGUGGACGGGGAUUACUGGGAAACUCUCCCUUCAAACUCAACCCUGUUACUGCUCACAGAGAAAGGCCGUCCCCAAGAAAGCGAAUUUGUGGAUCAGUAUGAAUCUGCUAGUUGUUCAUCGGAGAAGAUUCCACUGAAAGAUGAGCCCUCAUUUCCUGAGAAGCGGAAACUAUGUGAAGAUCAUUCCGAGGUUCCUGAGAAACGCAAUCGCUCUGACGAAUUUACCACCAGAGGUACCAUGUAUUGUUGGCUGGCAACAUUACUCCAUUGAAAAGAAGAAAUAUAUUCAGAAGAAAGCCGACAGCGGAAAAUCCUAACGCAGGGAUCAGGAGGGUGAACCUGCCGGAAACUUGGGGGUAUCAUGACAUGCUCGUCUUGUUGAAAUCCCUCUUCUUCAAGGAUGGGAAAAAUGAAACAGGGAAAGUAGAGAUGAUGAGUUGUUCUCUGGGAAACCCGAAAGGUGUGGUGAUACCAGCAGAAGGCUUCUCCGUGGAUCGUACACACCAUCCAAAUCAAUCAGGAAGUUUAUCUUCUGACAAAUCCACGAUUCCGGCUUCCAGUUAUGCUCUCAGAUUCAGACUUACGUAGUCAGUUUUCAACCUGUUCAACCGAGGCGACUGCUCAAACAUCUGUUUGUCCCAGAAACCCACGAACCAAGUCGCCUGUUUCUGGGGCUCGCCCACCGGACUCCUCUAGCCCACCAACCAAGGCGGCUGCUUCUGCGAGUCGGUUAACAGGCUCCAUUAACCCACCAACCAAGGCGACUGCUUCUGCAAGUGGUUCAACUGGCUCCACCAACCCACCAACCAAGGCGACUGCUUCUGCAAGUCGGUUAACAGGCUCCACUAACCCACCAACCAAGGCGACUGCUUCUGCCAGUCGGUCAACUGGCUCCACUAGCCCACCAACCAAGUCGGCUUUUUCUGGGGUUCGCUCAGCAGGCUACACUAGCCCACCAACCAAGGCGACUGCUUCUGCGAGUCGGUCAACUGGCUCCACUAGCCCACCAACGAAGUCGGCUUUUUCUGCGGUUCGCUCAGCAGGCUACACUAGCCCACCAACCAAGGCGACUGCUUCUGCCAGUCGGUCAACUGGCUCCACUAGCCCACCAACCAAGUCGGCUUUUUCUGGGGUUCGCUCAGCAGGCUACACUAGCCCACCAACGAAUGCGUCCGUCUCUGCGGGUGGGUUAGGAGGCCUCACUAGCCCACCAACCAAGUCGGCUAUUUCUGCAGGAAGGUCAACCGGCUCUACAAGCUCACCAGCCAACCCGCGCGUUAUCUACGCCACUUCAGCUAGACCAAGCAUAUCUUCUAUGUCUACAACAAAGCCAACACACCAACAGUCUACAAUCAAGCGUACAAUUCCUUUAGCGGCCCCCAUCAAGCAAGAAAAAUUAGAUUACAGUGACUCAAGUGCCUCCAGUUCCACCAACCGUGCGUUCCUUUCAAGAAAAGAUGAGCGACCAAUUCAACACACAUCUGCCAUACCAGAGGAGGAGGGGACAUGCGUGUGUCAGUGACGUCACUUAACGCGUACAUGUAUAUAGUGCUCUGCAUGCUCUACUCCGUUCUCAGACCUGCGGAGAAAAAUAUGGUUAUUUAAAUAGAUACCCCUUGCGAAACAUGUAUCUUACACUGAGCUCGUCACAAUUAAAGUACUAUUCAACAUUUCAGGAAGACAUGGAAACGACACAGACGAAGAAAUGUUCACACUGUUUCAUUCGAUAUCGGAAUUGCUUUUUGUUCCCAUGUGGUCACGGCAUAUGUAGACAUUGUGGCGAAGAACUGCAUUCUGCCCACCUGCCAUGUCCAGUCUGUGAGAGGAAAAUUGUGUCCAUAAGAUCAAUCUUUGACUAAUAGAUCCCAGGCAAAAGUGGUCGAACAUAUAUAUAACCCUUGAAUAUUUAAUUUGGCAUCGCUGACUGGAGAAUCUGGUCAAAAUGGAGCGUGUACCGUCUUCUUGGAUGACAUCACGAAACGUGUGUACUACGUCGCAAUCUCUCAUUCGUUUCAUGCACAUGUGUAUUUGUCGCUGUACAAAUCUUUCCGGUUCACAUUACCUAUUCCAUGUAUAUUUCCUGUGUAUUAAUUUCCAUUUUGCAUCGCUCUUGUGCUUACCGAGUAUAUAGGACUACCUUACUUAACGCAAGUAAUUUUGAGCGGAAGUAUUAAACCAGUAACAUAUUCGUAGUAGACAGAUAUAUCAUUACCUCUUUUAAUGUUUUAA